UGCUCCAUCUGCUCCAAGUCGAUCUUGGCCUUGUCAUACGUCCAGGAGCCGAACUUCAUCUUGCAGUUCUGCUGGUCGAAGGGGAAGAAGGUGACAUCGAUGCUGCAGGAGCUCUUGUAGAUGGCCGGGGGCACCCAGUGCACAGUCCCCGUGGAGAAGAGGGCCUGUACGGGAGCUGUAGGGGAUGGAAUGUGAGACACAGGCCUGCCCUUAAGGAACCUUGAGGAAAUGAGAUGCAGCCUACACACCUACACCACAAGGGAGGCAGUUUGGCAACAGCCCUGCAAGGACAUUCCAGGGAACCAGAAGAAUACACGGGAAGACAGCCUUCUUUCCCAUGGAGAAAUUCCAGACCAGAGAUUGGAAAACGGAAUUGGAAACAGGAACUGUGAUAGUAACAAAUUUCAGGACAAACUUUUUUUAAAGGCAUUUUUGUCACCACACGGAAUUACCACUAGGUGGCAACAUGUGCCCCGUUCCGAGGACGGAAAAGUGUAGCUUCCUUGAUCCUCCAGUUUCGCCUAGAGUGGAACUCCAUGGAGACCCUUCUUUGAAUGUCUGCAAGAAUUUGG